rnacentral:misc_RNA from 1 species
AAGGUCGUAACAAGGUUUCCGUAGGUGAACCUGCGGAAGGAUCAUUACAAAUAAAGCUGGUAGGAAGUGGGGUUCUUGAUCUGUAAGUGGUAGAGCGAAGCAGUCCGGCUGCCUCCCGAAAACUGUCUUACAUGUCCCCCAACAGCCUGAAGGCCGAAUUUACAACCCUUGAUUAUCUACACUUGUUGCUUUUGGGGAUGCUCAAGUGCCCCCAGAGGACCCAAACCCCGUCUUGCAUUUAGUGACGUCUGAGUACUAUAUAAUAUUUGAAAAG